UACAGAGGGUGCAAGCGUUGUUCGGAAUUAUUGGGCGUAAAGCGCGUGUAGGCGGCUUUGCAAGUCGGGUGUGAAAGCCCUCAGCUUAACUGAGGAAGUGCAUCCGAAACUGGCAGGCUAGAGUACUAAAGAGGGUCGCGGAAUUCCCGGUGUAGAGGUGAAAUUCGUAGAUAUCGGGAGGAACACCGGUGGCGAAGGCGGCGCCUGGGUAGAUACUGACGCUGAGGUGCGAAAGCGUGGGGAGCAAACAGG
rnacentral:rRNA from 1 species